rnacentral:tRNA from 1 species
GCCGCGGUGGCGGAACUGGCAGACGCGUUAGGCUUAGGACCUAAUGCCCGCAAGGGUUUGAGAGUUCGAGUCUCUCCCGCGGCA